rnacentral:lncRNA from 1 species
AAUUGUAAUAAGUAAGGGAUGUAAUAACUUAGAUUGUAUUUUGGAGGAAUCAAAUGAGAACUGUGAUGUAAAAAAUAUGUGAAUAUGAAUGUAUGUAAUAACAUAGGAUGUGUUAUGUUGUUGAUACCUUCUUUAUGCAAUCUGUUUGUUGAAUACUGUUCCUGUUUGGAACCUUUGUAUUGUAUUGAUUGCGAUGCCUUGAACGUACAGGGGAGACUCUGUCCGCAGUACAGGGGAAACCCUGUCCGUUCGGCGCUGUCGGCGCCGCGACCUCGGCCAAAUAGGCGGGUGGUCGCGGGUCGUGACAGUUAGGGCGUAACUGAGUAGCCUAAUGUUGUUCCGAUUUUGGUUCUUGUGAACGUUGACAUCGAUUCGUUCCAAAUUUACUCUCUUGGGGCAUAAUAGAACAAUAUAAUUAGGUUUUACUCUUUGUUCGAUAGAAUGAGAAAAAGUACUCCUUGCAAUGUUAUACUGUUAGGGCGUAACUGAGUAGUCUAAUGUUGUUCCGAUUUUGGUUCUUGUGAAGGUUGACAUCGAUUCGUUCCAAAUUUACACUCUCGGGGCAUAAUUUAUAAUUAGCUUUUACACUUUGUUCGACUGAAUGAGAAAAAGUACUUGUUGUAAUAUUCUACUGUUAGGGCGCAACAGAGUUGUUUAUUGUUGUUCCGGUUUUGGUUCUUGUGAACGUUGACAUCGAUUCGUUCCAAAUUUACUCUCUCGGGGCAUAAUAGAACAAUAUAAUUAAGUUUUACUCUUUGUUCGAUAGAAUGAGAAAAAGUACUCAUUGUAAAGUUAUACUGUUACGGUGCAACUGAGCAGUCUAAUGUUGUUCCUGUUUUGGUUCUUGUGAACAUUGACAUCGAUUCGUUCGAAAUUACAAUUUUCGGGGCAUAAUUGAACAUUAUAAUUAGCUUUUACUCCUUGUUCGAUAGAAUGAAAAAUAGUACUCGUUGCAAAGUUAUACUGUUGGGGUACAACUGAGUAGUCUAAUGUUGUUCCGAUUUUCGUUCUUGUGAAGGUUGACAUCGAUUCGUUCCAAAUUUACUCUCUAGGGGCAUAAUAGAACCAUAAAAUUAGGUUUUACUCUUUGUUCGAUAGAAUGAGAAAAAGUACUCCUUGCAAAGUUAUACUGUUAGGGCGUAACUGAGUAGUCUAAUGUUGUUCCGGUAUUGGUUCUUGUGAACGUUGACAUCGAUUCGUUCCAAAUUUACUCUCUUGGGGAAUAAUAGAACAAUAUAAUUAGAUUUUUCUUUCUGUUCGAUAGAAUGAGAAAAAGUACUCGUCGCAACGUUAUACUGUUAGGGCGCAACUGAGUAGCCUAAUGUUCUUCCGGUUUUGGUUCUUGUGAACGUUGACAUCGAUUUGUUCCAAAUUUACUCUCUCGGGGCAUAAUAGAACAAUAUAAUUAGGUUUUACUCUUUGUUCGACAGAAUGAGAAAAAGUACUCCUUGCAAAGUUAUACUGUUA